UUCAUCACUACACUUCCUUCAUCUCUGCUGCCAAAAAGAAGAAAGGAAGAAGAUUGCUAAAUGCGUUAUGGGUGGGAACGGUUUGGACGCUUUGGGAAAAAAGAAACGAGAGUCGUUUUCAAGGAAAGAUUUGGGAUAUUGAGAGACUUGUUUUACAGAUCAAGGGUAGACUUUGGAGUUGGAAUGAGGUUUAUAAAGUUUUGGAGUUGAGAAU
rnacentral:lncRNA from 1 species